AGCAGAUUUUCAGGAGCUUCACAUUCGAAGAUGAAGAAGAAGAAAAUCAUGGAUGGAAGAUGUCACUGUGGUGAGUAUGUUGUCUUGUUGGAAUCUUUGACGGUUACUAAUCCUGGAAGAUGGUUCAUUCGUUGCCCCUUUUCGAAGAGUCGAGAUUGCCAUUAUUUUCUUUGGGUUGAUGAAAUUGAUGGGAGAUGGCAAAGUUUGGCAAGGUGUUUGAUUAGAAGACUGGAUGAGCAUGAAUGUGGUGUUGCUAAUCAAGAUGUAACAACUGCUCCAACAGACCACAGGGAGAGAAAUGUUAACAUGGCCACGAAGGUUGAGAAGAAGAUUGAAGGUGAAAUCAAAGCUAUGAGAGUAUGGCUUGUGUACAUGUCUUUAGGAUUGUUUCUGCAGUUUACGCUUUUUUUGUUUGUAAUAGUCAUGUACAAGUGAUUGGUAAGCAUUGAACCUCAAAGAUAUUUCCAGCAUCAUCCCCUGUCCAGAAUGGCCUCCAACUACUGCUAUCUUUCUUAUUUUUCUCCAAUCUACUCUGUUGUACUGGACAAAACCGUCCAUUGUAUCCCCUCAACUCCUUCUUAUUUCUAGCCAAGAUUCUCAUAACAUAACACCUUAUCUCUUCCAGGAGGGUAAUGAUUGGCUUUCCCCUAACCUUCUUACACUUAGAGUUAAAAAUUUCACUAUUGUUGUUGGUGAUAUUAUCCACCUUUGGCCAUUCACUAAAGUGGGAUCUUGACCAUUGUUUUGGUGGAAUGCGGCUCAGAUACUCCCAAGCAUGUGGGUUUAGUUUUCUAAUUGUUGUCAUGGCUGCUGCAAAGUCUUGGGGGGUGGUACUCCUUGCACACACCCAAACUGCACCCUUGAG